CUUUCAUCUUGGAAGAGGAAGUCUAGGGUUAGGGUUGAGAGAGAGCGAGAAAAAAAAAAAGGAGAACUGCAUGGCUGCCACAGGCUGGACGUGAUCGGUGAUCAGAAGAGUUGGAACCGGCGAAGUGCGAAGCAUUAGUUGUUGAAUGAAGGGGAUGGGGCAUUUUAUGGACCAAAGAUAGACAUCAGUGUAUCUGAUGCAUUAAGUAAGAAAUUUCAGUGUGCAACUUUGCAGGUUUGCCACGCUCAGAUAGAUUUGUGUUCACAUGAUUUAGUUUUGGAUAACUUGUCAUGUAAUAGCUAGGUGAAUGUGGUUACUAGCAGCUUAACUUCCAGCUUCCUGAUCGUUUGAAGUUGGAAUUCUCUGCUGAGGAUGAAGCCAAAAUUGAGAGACCUGUAAUGAUACAUAGAGUAAUUCUAGGAUCUGUUGAACACAUGUUUGCCAUACUUUUAGAGCACUACAAGGGUAAAUGGCCUUUCUGGCUCAGUCCUCUUCAAGCAAUUGUAUGUCCAGUGUCUGGAAAAUCAUUAUCUUAUGCACUACAGUACGAGAAGCACAAUUAGCUCAGUACAAGUACAUGUUGGUUGUCGGAGAGGAGGAAGCAAAUACUGGACAGGUUGUAUGGCCAUCUGAAGUUGUCGUGGUAGAUUUACUCUGCUUUCAUAAAGUAGGAACAACUAAAAUAAGUUAUAGAAAUUUAUUGGUUGCUCUAAGUGUACUAAUUUUCGUGUUUCCAUCAUGCUUGAUGAUAUGAAGUGCUUUAUUGGAAGUUAAUUGUUCUCCACAAGCACAUAACCAUUGGGAAUGGUCACAUAUCAACCAAGUAACAAUAUAGAAAUAUUUAUCCUUUAGCUACAAUUAUAACUAAGGUGGUUGUAUCCUGAUUGAUACCGCAUGCAUUUUUAAUCUUUUAGGCACACCAAUAAGGAGGAAAUUUAAAGAGAUGUACAUUUAUUGGAAAGAUGGAUAGGAUACUUAGUAGGAUAAACAAUUACAUUCAAGCACAGAUUUUUAAAGAGGCUAAUGCAGUUUUAACAAAGAAUUAUUGUGGUGUUAUAUAUUUUUUGAACUUUUUUUAUCACUUUGAAUGAUACUCCCCGUAU